UCCGAGCAGCGCAUAGAGCCA
rnacentral:siRNA from 1 species